CUGCUUUUCACCUCUCCUCCGACUGACUCACCGCAGCCUCGAGAGGCGCCUGAGCCGGGCGCAGCCCUGUAAGAGCGGUUUAUCCCGGCCGGACAGGCCCAGCCGGAAUCGGUUUUGUUGGAAGAAAUUGGCCAUGAGACUUAAUAGGAAGACAUACAACAAAUCUUACUGGAUAGGAAAAAAAUUGGAACUGUAAGGAAUGGAGAAGCGGAGAAGAAAGUACUCCCUGUCAGAAGAUGAGGAAAAUUAUGGUGAUUUACUGCUGUGACAAACAAAAACAGCUAUGUGUUUGGAUUCUUUGGCUCAUGAAGAAUCCUAUCUCUCAGAAACGUGGAUUAAAAUGAGAAUGACUUAACACUUAAAAGUAUAGAUGAGGUUCAGAAAAAGAUUAACAAAGAUGGUGCCACACACAAAUAAAAAUUAGAAGGAGAAAUUGAAGGAUUUAGCUACCAUCUGAGUCGAAACUGCUCACAAUAUAACAACAAUAAAAUAAAGAUAAAAAAUAAAAAAGGAAGAAAAAUAAGCGGAA